GCCGCUCUGGCGCACUCUGCUGACGUCAGAGCAUGGCGGCGGCGGCUCUCGAGCCCUGGAGCGCGGUGGCUCCGCGGAGGAGGAAGCGCGCGGCGGGAAGGCGACCGCGGCCGGGCGAGGGGCCCCGGGCCGAGCCGGAGGCGGACGGCGAAGCGGUGCUACGCCGCCUGCGGGAGGCCGAGGAGGACCUGCGGAUCUCUGAUUUCUGCAGUUCGGCACUGGAAACCAUCACCGAGUGUCUUAGGAAACAGUUGGAGCAACUGCAGCCCCUAACAGAAGCCCUUGGAAGGCUGCACCUUGGCUCAUCGUUGCCUAGUGCGUCACAGGAGCCCUUGGCUUCAAGCGCCUCCCAUGUGAAGUGUGUGUGCUACGGUCUUGGGACCUUUGCCUCCUGCCCCACUGCUCGGAUCCAGCUUGCUUUUAUGCUUCUCUUUCUAGAGAAGUGCCAGGUCCCCAGAAGUCACUGCUGGGUCUAUGACCCUCUGUUCAGUCAGACUGAGGUUUCCGUUCUCACCUCCCUCGGCGUGACUGUCCUCAGUGAGAAUGAGACGUCCAGCGUGCUUACACUUACUAAUAUAGCUGUGCCACAGAAGAGCUGGGCUUUGCACUCUGCUCCUUAGCACCCAUUCUGCUGGUUCCACAGGAAGGCAAGCGCAGUGUCCAGGGCCAGCCCACUGUCUUCUACAUGCCACACUGUGGGACAGCUCUAUACAACAACCUGCUGUGGAGCAACUGGUCUGCAGACGCCCUGUCCAGGGUGCUCAUCAUCGGGAACAGCUUCCGAGGCCUUGAGGAAAGGUUGUUGGCGAGGAUUCUGCAGGAAAAUUACCCCUACAUUGCAAAGGUGUCUGACAGAAUAGCUGGGCCGGGGUGAGGGUGCAAAGCCACACUGUCCAUGUUUCUAAGCACAACCAGCUGGUGCCUCUCCUACUGUGUGCCAGUGGCCUUCAUCCUUAGGGCGAGCCCAGCAGUCUCACUGGCAUGGGACUGAAAAGUGCUGAAAUACAACCCCCCCAUCCCUUAUUUCUCAGAAGGACGGUGGGGUGGCCAGGUGAAGAUAGAGAGGGGUGUACCUAAUGCCCGUAUCUGGUCCUCUCUGCUCAGAUUCUGAAAGGCCUGGAGGAGGUCCCACUGCCGCAGACUCCCCAGUACACUGACACCUUUAAUGAUACAUCUGUCCACUGGUUCCCACUAUUGAAGCUGGAAGGACUGCCUGGGGACCUGUGGGCAUCCCAGGAAGAGCCUGACUACCAGGACUGUGAGGACCUGGAGAUCAUCAGGAAAGCUACAGAUCGCUCAGCUGGAGUAACAGGACAGUUCUCUCCACCUGGGCCAGGAGCCACGGUGCAC